rnacentral:ribozyme from 1 species
AAAAAAAAAGAAAAUAAAGAAAAAAGUGAACCACUUUAGCGGUGGCUGCAUCUCUUUUUUUUUUUUU